AUUGAACGCUGGCGGCAGGCCUAACACAUGCAAGUCGAGCGGUAGAGCGAAGCUUGCUUCUCUUGAGCGCGGCGGACGGGUGAGUAAUGCCUAGGAAUCUGCCUGGUAGUGGGGGAUAACGUUCGGAAACGGACGCUAAUAUCGCAUACGUCCUACGGGAGAAAGCAGGGGACCUUCGGGCCUUGCGCUAUCAGAUGAGCCUAGGUCGGAUUAGCUAGUUGGUGGGGUAAUGGCUCACCAAGGCGACGAUCCGUAACUGGUCUGAGAGGAUGAUCAGUCACACUGGAACUGAGACACGGUCCAGACUCCUACGGGAGGCAGCAGUGGGGAAUAUUGGACAAUGGGCGAAAGCCUGAUCCAGCCAUGCCGCGUGUGUGAAGAAGGUCUUCGGAUUGUAAAGCACUUUAAGUUGGGAGGAAGGGCAGUAAAUUAAUACUUUGCUGUUUUGACGUUACCGACAGAAUAAGCACCGGCUAACUCUGUG
rnacentral:rRNA from 1 species